rnacentral:rRNA from 1 species
CCUACGGGUGGCAGCAGUGAGGAAUAUUGGUCAAUGGGCGCGAGCCUGAACCAGCCAAGUAGCGUGAAGGAUGACUGCCCUACGGGUUGUAAACUUCUUUUAUAAAGGAAUAAAGUGAGGCCCGUGUGCCUUUUUGUAUGUACUUUAUGAAUAAGGAUCGGCUAACUUCGUUCCAGCAGCCGAGGGAAUACGGGGGAUCCGAGCGUUAUCCGGAGUUAUUGGGUUUAAAAGGAGCGUAGAUGGGGUGUUAAGUUCGUUGGGAAAGUUUGCGGCUCAACCGUAAAAUUGCAAUUGAUACUGGCAGUCUUGAGUACAGUUGAGGUAGGCGGAAUUCGUGGUGUAGCGGUGAAAUGCUUAGAUAUCACGAAGAACUCCGAUUGCGAAGGCAGCUUACUAAACUGCCACUGACAUUGAUGCUCGAAAGUGUGGGUAUCAAACAGGAUUAGAUACCCCGGUAGUC